CAGGCGUUCUAUCUUCUCCUCCCCUCGUUCCUCGUCCGCCUGCGCCGCCGAGGAGUACUUCAUUGCCAGACCUGAAAAAAUGGGAUGCGACUCACACUCCCGACUAAGCAGCAAAGGAGACGGCGCCGGAUCCGGCGGAAUUUGCAUGGCGUCCAGGCUGCUGAGUGGGCUCCCUCCACACGGGUAAACAAUUUGUACAUCCUGAAACUGCCUGCUGCGUCCCGGCAGAUUGAAGCCGAUCCGGUGGCGUUGGAAGUUCGAACAAUGGUGGCUGAAGAGCGAUGCUCGCCGGGGGGUGAAACUUCGAGAUCCUCGAGCAGCUAGGUUUCUCGGCUAGGUUUCCUCUAUUAGCUCUCUAUCUUCAUCUUUUCUGCAAAAUUUUCUCUACAAUCCUCUCUUCCGCACAACGAUUCUACUGUGUCCGCACUGCAAUUAUGUCUCUCCAGUCUCCAUUUUGUGCAGGGAGUGUUCAUGCUGGUUCCGGUCAACUUUGUCAGCCAAGGCUGGGCUUCCGCCCAACGAUUCUAUGGUGUUCAGUGUAAUUUAUCAUGUCUCUCCGGUAUCCAUUUUGCGCUGGGACUGUUCAUGGCUCCAUGCUGUUUCCAGUCAACUCGUUCAGCCAAUCUUGGAGGCUGAGCUGAUGUAUUGAAUUGGGGAUUUCUUGCGUGACAAUUCCUUAUGGUUGCCGGCCAGGCCAGUGCUAUCAUCAACAGUUCAAUGUCUUGUGAACCAAAGCCAAUAGCAGUUAAAGGUUCAUCUGGCAGCCAUCGUUCUUGCCUAGUGCUAGGAACGGUUGCACUCCCUGCUGGGGGUUGAUGGCGCGUCAACCAUUGUGCAACACAGAGUUCAAGUGAGGAGGGG